AUAAUAAUAAUAAUUAUGGUAAGUGUAACGUACAUUUGCAUUUUGCAACAGAAACAGCUUCUUAUAGAGUAUUGUUUUACAGGCUAAUCUUUUUUUAUGUAAUGUAUUCAAAUGUAAUUAUAAUUAGGAUUGGGAUAAUACAAAAAUAUACUUUUUGCUUAGUGAUAUCUAUUACAUUGUGACAGAAUUUGGUUUCUCAAUAAUUCUCAUCCUGAGUGCCAAACUGAUCAACUGCAUCCUAAUGGAACGUUCAAGAUGUGAUUCAGUAACUGAUACGGUUGUUGCAAUAAUUAUUUUUGACCAAAUUGAAUCCACAAAAUAAUUGAAGAAAUGGUUUCAGAUGAUUACGAACAAGUGCAGCUAUCUUUGGAGAGGUAAUGCACCUACUGAUAUCCCGUGAUAAGAACUUGGGAGAGAUUUAGUGAAAACCUGGAGAACGGCCACUUAGCUCACAAAUCUGAGCUGUUCACAUCAAGCUGAUAUUUGUGACAGCCAUUAUAGCUUUAAUCAUUUUCUCGAUUGAUCAAAGCACCACAGACUGCAUCGUUCGUCACCUCUGCCUUUAAGCGCGUUAUCACCUACUCCAAUAAGCCACCCCAAUAUCCUUAAUAAGCAAUAGAAGUUCUUAUCGACUGUGUAUGACUCAUUAAUAUCCAUGUUCUGUAUAAAUUUAUGUGAUAGGCCUACUGGUAUUAAUGUUGAUGUACCGUAAUGUUUUUUGCUCAUGUAUAAUUGAUAAUAAUACAUUAAAAAUAAAUAUAAUGUUAAAUUAUUA
rnacentral:lncRNA from 1 species